rnacentral:rRNA from 1 species
AACGAACGCUGGCGGCAUGCCUAACACAUGCAAGUCGAACGAACCCUUCGGGGUUAGUGGCGCACGGGUGCGUAACGCGUGGGAAUCUGCCCUUUGCUUCGGAAUAACAGUUAGAAAUGACUGCUAAUACCGGAUGAUGUCUUCGGACCAAAGAUUUAUCGGCAAGGGGUGAGCCCGCGUAGGAUUAGGUAGUUGGUGGGGUAAAGGCCUACCAAGCCGACGGUCCUUAGCUGGUCUGAGAGGAUGAUCAGCCACACUGGGACUGAGACACGGCCCAGACUCCUACGGGAGGCAGCAGUGGGGAAUAUUGGACAAUGGGCGCAAGCCUGAUCCAGCAAUGCCGCGUGAGUGAUGAAGGCCUUCGGGUCGUAAGGCUCUUUUACCAGGGAUGAUAAUGACAGUACCUGGAGAAUAAGCUCCGGCUAACUCCGUGCCAGCCGCCGCAGUAACAC